rnacentral:rRNA from 1 species
GACGAACGCUGGCGGCGUGCUUAACACAUGCAAGUCGAACGGAAAGGCCCUGCUUUUGUGGGGUGCUCGAGUGGCGAACGGGUGAGUAAAACGUGAGUAACAUGCCCUUGACUUUGGGAUAACUUCAGGAAAAUGGGGAUAAUACCGGAUAGGAGAUCCUGCUGCAUGGUGGGGGUUGGAAAGUUUCGGCGGUUGGGGAUGGACUCGCGGCUUAUCAGCUUGUUGGUGGGGUAGUGGCUUACCCAGGCUUUGACGGGUAGCCGGCCUGAGAGGGUGACCGGCCACAUUGGGACUGAGAGACGGCCCAGACUCCUACGGGAGGCAGCAGUGGGGAAUAUUGCACAAUGGGCGGAAGCCUGAUGCAGCAACGCCGCGUGCGGGAUGACGGCCUUCGGGGUGUAAACCGCUUUCGCCUGUGACGAAGCGUGAGUGACGGUAAUGGGUAAAGAAGCACCGGCUAACUACGUG